rnacentral:ncRNA from 1 species
GAUGUGGUGGGCGCCGACGGUAUGUCGCAUUUUAAAUUUCUAGGAGGAUUGACAGAUUGAGCGCUCUUUCCUGAUUCGGUGGACGGUGGUGCAUGGCCGUUCUUAGUUGGUGGAGCGAUUUGUCUAUUUAAUUCCGAUAACGAACGAGACUCUAGCCUAUUAAAUAGGUGCGUGGUUCUCUGCGCCUUGCACCAUUCUCAGAGGGACAAGCGGCUCCUAGCUACUGGAAACAGGGCAAGAACAGGUAUGUGAUGCCCUUAGAUGUCCGGGGCCCCACGCGCGCUACACUGAAAGAAGCAGCGUGUUUUUAUCCCUGUCUGUU